GCCGGGGGCCGCGUGAGGCCGGCGGGACGGAGGGAGGCCGGCGGGGAGGGAAAGCACCGGGCCCGCAGCCGCCCGGGGCACCCCGGUCCCCGCUCUGCUGCCGGCCUGGGGGGCCCGGGACCCUCACGUCGCCCGCGGCCCAGCCCCUUUCGGGGGUGCAAGGCAUGGGGGAAACUUGGGUGACUCAGUUCCUGCGGAGCAGAGCGUGGGGGGCCGCGUGCCCAGCCCUGGGGUUUUGGAGGGUCGGGUCGGGUCAGAGCCGCCGUGAGGAGGCCUUCCUGUUUUGGGCUUCCCGUCUGUAAAAACAACCUUCCAGGGAAGGGGACGCUAGAGAUGGGGGGCGGGAAGAGGGGUGUCUCUCUGCUUCUGUUUUCCCAUGUUUUUUGUGGUUAGGGUCCCCCUUUUUCACGAAAAAUACUCCGUGACCAACGGGGUGAGCUGGGGAGGGGCUUAGAUUGUAGAAAGGGACUUUCAUUGUCUCCCCAAAGUUGUACAAGCCACGUUACUCUUCUGUGGUUACCUAGCUUUGUUUUUUUUGUUCUUUCUACUUAAAUACUGCGGGGGAAGUUUGGUGGAACCAGGGAAGAAGGGGGAUGUUCACCCUUGAUGUGCCCUACCUGACCCUCGGCUCGGGGCAGACUUGGGGUGCAGCUGAGGACGCCCAGGACCCUGGUAGCUGUGGUCCUGCCCUCCCUUCCCUGCAACACGUGGAGCUCUGCAGAUUCUGCAAGGCCCCUGGGCUCAAGCGAUCCUCCUGCCUCGGCCUCUCAAAGUGCUGGGAUUACAGGCGUGAGCCACCAUGCCCAGCCGAAAAUGGCUUUCUUGAGAGAUCAGCUUUGAAGCUCUGCUCCUUCAUUUUAAAGUGCCCCAGGAGAAGUGGACGAUUACAAAGAGAUGUGGUUUCACUAUGUUGCCCAGUUCGGUCUUGAACUCCUGAGCUCAAGCGGUCUCCCAGAGUGCUGGGAUUACAGGAUUGCAUCUGGCUUCAAGAAACAGCGCUACUUCAGCAGCCUAAGCAGAAAGGUAUUUAUUUGUUUAUUUUUUACAUGUCAGGAAUUCCAGUACCCCUUGGAGUUGCUGGCAUUGGAUUAGUGAUGCAGGGUUGUUAGGACUGACAUCUCUGCUGUUUUCAUUGUCUUUUCCUCAAGGCCCCUAAAUGGCUGCUACAGCCCUAGCCAAUAUAUCUGGGUUCAAGGUAGGAAGAGGGAAGGAUUGCACCAGCCUCAUGGGUUCCUUUCUAUUCAGGAAAGUCCAAGCCUUCUUCAAAGGCUCUUCUGUCCACAUAGCAGACUUCUGGUCAUGUCUCCUUGGCUGAAACUGGAUUACAUGACCACCUCUAGCUGCAAGGGAGGCAGGAAAAAUGAGCAUUUGGUUUUAUGCUUCUCUAGGAGGAAACAGCAAGGGAGAAACUUUUGAGUAAGCCAGCCAAUAUUGUCCAACAUGUACUUAUUUUUUAACUUUUUUUUUUUUUUUGAGACAAGGUCUGGCUGGCUCUGUUGCCCAGGCUAGAGUGUGGUGGCACAAUCUCAGCUCGCUGCAACCUCUACCUCCUAGGCUGAAGCUAUCCUCCCACCUUAGCCUCCAGAGUAGCUGGGACUACCACAUGCACCACCAUACCUGGCUAAUUUUUAUGUUUGUAGAGAUGGGGUCUCACCAUGUUGUCCAGGCUGCUCUUGAACUUGUGAGUUCAAGCCAUCUGCCCACCUCAGCCUCCCAAAGUGCUGGGAUGACAGGCAUGAGCCAUCGUACUCAGCUAAUGUUUUUCUUUCAAUCAAUUCACUUUUUAAGCCUUAACAAAGUUAUUGCAAAAGGAAGUUUCAUAUCACUUUAGAAUGUCUUUGAAGUCACAGGUUGGUUAUAUUUAUGUGCUUACUUUAAUAGCUAUUAAAGUAAAUAUAGCACUACUAAGAAAAAAAGAUAUUCUUUAAAUCGCCUAUUAUCAGUGGUUCUUAACUCUGGAUGAUUUUGUCUCCAGGGGACAUUUGGCAAUGUCUGGAAACAUUUUUGGCUGUCGCGAUGGGGCAGGGAGUGCAUGCCUAGAGUCUAGUGGGUAGAGGCCAGGGGGUGUGCUAAAUAUCCUGCAAUACAGGAUGGGCUCCAUAAUGAAAAAUCCUCUGGUCCCAAAUGUCAGUAGUACUGCAGUUGAGAAACCCUGGCAUGGACGCAAUCCACCUGCUGCCAGGAGUUAUAUACAAGCCAUGUUAGGGUAAUGCUGCAAUAUGUCCAUCGUGAUUGUGUUUUCUCCUGGGUGACUAUCAGCAACGCUGUAGCCUGCUUGUUGGUUUUCAAGGUCCAUUCUCAAGAUACUAUCAGAUCUCCAGCAAUCGUGUGAUGCAGUUUGAAAUGUUCAUGUGAGCUGGGCGUGGUAACUCAUGCCUGUAAUCCCAGCACUUUGAGAGGCCAAGGCUGGAGAAUGGCUUGAGCCCAGGAGUUUGAAACCAGCCUGGGCAACAUAGCGAGACCCAGUCUCUACACAAAAUUAAAAAAAAAAAAAAUUAGCCAGGUAUGAUGGUGCAUGGCCAUGGUCACAGCUACUCAGGAGGCAGAGGUGGGAUGAUCACCUGGGCCUGGGAGGUUGAGGCUGCGGUGAGCCACGAUUGCACCACCGUAUUCCAGCUUGGGCGACAGAGCGAGACCCUGUCUCAAAAAAAAGAAUGUGCAUAUGAAUUCAAGAUAUGUCCCUUAUAGAGACUGGUGAGGACACAGCUUACUGACUCUGAAGCUGAAGUGGUUGAAUUGAUAGCCCUCUUGCCGGGCAAAUCCUAUGUGAGUGCUUCUAAAAGAACACUGUGCCUUGCAGAGAGUAUUCCUGGGACCUGGCAGGAAUCAGGGCCUCUUGGUGACCACAUGCUUUGGAAAGGGCUGUGCUUUGGCAAGUGGGAGAUUUUAUUAUUUAUUUUCUCCUGUCUGCCUCAGUUUGGCAAAAACAAACCUGGCCUGGGCAUGGGCCUUGUGGAGACAAGAAGGCAGCUUGAGAUUAUCAGAGAUCAGGCUGCUGGUGGGUUUGCCUGAGCUGGCCUGGUCAGGUAGCUUGACAAUGAUGCUCACCCCCCAUUAAAGUUAAUUGAGCUGUUACAGAGUGGGAGUGGGGAGUGGGGGGUGUGAUGACUGCCUGUCUCCUUGAGUUGGCGUGGCUAAGAAGUAAGGGAAUUUUUUAACUUUUCCUUCUUAAUUCUGGAAACUUAGAAAAAAGCCUCUCACCAUCCCUUAAUCAUUCAGUUAUAGAGACCAGGCUGUUGAUAUGGACAUGCUGCAUUUCAUGGGAUCCUAGAGGCCAGCAUUUGUGACAUACAUCCCAGUUUCAGAGAUGUUAGGAUAUAAAAAUGUAGCCAGCAGUGUUUAUAGGAUGGGCUAAUCGAGAGACACAGAGAAAUAUCAAAGAUAGCAAAAUAGGAAGAAACAGAGUCUUAGAAUCAAUGCAGUAUAAUAAUAGCUUCUAGUUUCUUUCUGUUUUUCUUUUUUUUGAUACAGAGUCUCACUGUCGCCCAGGCUGGACUGUGGUGGCAUGAUCUCGGCUCACUGUAGCCUCCGUCUCCUGGGUUCAAGUGAUCCUCCCAUCUCAGCCUCCAAGUCACUGGGAUUACAAGUUGUUUGCCACCAUGCCCAGCUAAUUUUUGUAUUUUUAAUAGAGACAGGGUUUCACCAUGUUGGCCAGGUUGGUCUCGAAUGCCUGACCUCAAGUGAUCCCCCCUGCCUUGGCUUCCCAAAGUACUGGGAUGACAGGUGUGAGCCACCAUGCCCAGCCGCCCCCUCACUCUUAAGCGCAGCUCUUCGGCAGUCAGAGAUGUUGCCUGCUGUAUUUCUUGUUCUGCUUUUACACAUGGUUUAAAAAUCCUCGCCCAAGAAUGUAAGCCCCAUGGCCAGUGCUACCUGCCACCUUUAGGGGUGGCCUCUCCUGGGGUGCAGGAGGUUGCACAGUUCGUUUUGUGACAGCAGGGUCAUUUUUUAAUCGGAUCAUCUGCCCCAGUUUGCUUGGCUCUUAGGUGCUUGGGAGUUCUCCUGGUUUUUUGCUGUUGUGAAAUGGCCCAGCUUGUACACGUUGUUCCUUUUCUUGCUGGAGUUAUUUCCUUUAGACUCCUGUCCGUAAAGUAGGAUUGUUGGGUGAAAGUGGGGUAUGCGUGGUUAGGCUUUUCUCUGCCUGCUUUCUGGGUUGCUCUUCAGAUAGAUUUAAUCACCUUUUAUUUGUGUUUUGUGGUGGUUUUUGUUUGUUUGUUUGUUUGUUUUUUUGUUUUGAGACUGAGUUUUGGUCUCGUUGUGCAGGCUGGAGUGCAAUGGUGGGAUCUCGGCUCACAGCAACCUCUGCCUCCUGGGUUCAAAUGAUUCUCCUUCCUCAGCUUCCCGAGUAGCUGGGAUUACAGGCAUGCGCCACCAUCUCUGGCUAAUUUUGAAUUUUUAUUACAGACGGGGUUUCUCCAUGUUGGUCAGGCUGGUCUGGAACUCCCAACCUCAGGUGAUCUGCCCGCCUCAGCCUCCCAAGGUGCUGGGAUUACAGGCGUGAGCCACCACACCUGGCCACCUUUUAUUUGUUGAAUGAGUAUUUAAUAAGCGUGUCCUAUAUGCGUCAGGAGAAUUAAAUGGACAUGGUCUUGCUUUGGGGGAAAUGACAGGUAGGAGAGAAAGAGACACUUAGAACUCAACAGAGGCCAGGCGCGGUGGCUUACGCCUGUUAUCCCAGCACUUUGGGAGGCUGAGGUGGGCGGAUCACCUGAGAUCAGGAGUUCGAGACCAGCCUGGCCAAAAUGGUGAAAUCCCGUCUCUACUAAAAUAUAAAAUCAAUCAGGCGUGGUGAUGGCACAUGCCUGUGAUCCCAGCUACUCGGGAGGCUGAGGCAGGAGAAUUGCUUGAACCGGGGAGGCAGACAUUGCAGUGAGCCGAGAUUGCACUACUGCACUCCAGCCUGGGCAACAAGAGCAAAACUCUGUCUCAAAAAAAAAAAAAAGAAAAAACUCAACGGAGAAAACGGAUCAUUAAGGCUUCUUUGGCACUUCCUAAGUGCCAGGGACUGUUGUUAAUGCCUUUGAAGUGCUAAUAAUGACUUAAUGGUGACAAGUUUCCUGUGAAGCAGGGACUGUGAUUGUUUCUACCUUAUGGGUGGGGAAAGGAGGCAGAGAGAGGUGAAGUCACCCAGCUAGUAAAUGACAGGACUAGACUGAAACCCAGGCUGUCUGUCUCCAGGGCCUGGCCGGUACCUCAUGCUCCAUCUUGCCCCAUAAACACCCUGGGGUGGGCCAGAGAGGAGUCUUUUCCAACAGGCUGUGCCAGAUGACUUUGGCUAAUCUUGGAGGCUGGAGGAUUAGUCAGUCUACUAAGGGGGCUUCAGCAUUUUGGCACGUGGCUUUAUGAGCUGUUUACUCCAACAGUGAUGAUGACAAUAGUCAUAGUAGUGAUAAUACUAUGGUAGAAGUAACUGCAGCAAACUCAACCCCUAACGAGUAUUCUAUCUUCCCAACAUUGUGUGCAAUAGCCAUGAGAGAUGGGUGUUAUUCUUUUAAUUUGACACACGGGAACUGAAAGCCAGAGAGAUUGGGUGGCUUCCCCCAGGCCACACAGCCUGGAAGUAGUAGGACAGGGACGCGAGCCCAGAUCUGCUGCCCCAGAGCCUGUGCCCUUGACCACCAAGUCAUGGUCACUGCUUUCAACCCUGCCUGCCCCUGGGCCAUCUGUGUUGUGAUGCUGGCUGGCCAGGAUGGGGAGUGAGGAUUUCAGUUUGUCAUAGGGCAGGGAGAUGGGUGAGGCAGGACACUCCUUGAGAUGGAAGGCUCUGGGGUGGGGGGAGAGGGAGUGGUGGAGACUGGGGUGUCUCCGAAGGAGUGUUUGAAGAUGACAGUGGUUUUUCCAGUUUCCUGUUCUUAGCUAUAUUCAAGAAAAGGGUAAGCCAGAAAAUUUCCCUCUUGAGUUUCGCAACUUCUGGGAGCUUUUGCAAAGUCUGGGUGAUGCAGCAUUUUCCUGGUUUGAAUCCUAAGUGAAGUUUCAUUUUCCUUCACUUAACUCAUUCUGGCUCUGGCCUGUCUUCCCAGCUGUAUUGGCCAUCUGGUCCUCUUCUGGCUCUUUGUCCCAUUUAUUAUUAUUUAUUUUUAUUUUUAAUAGAGCUGGGGUCUCACUGUGUUGCCGUCUGUUCUGGAACUCCUGGACCCAAGUGAUCCUCCUGCCUCGGUCUCCCAAAAUACUGGGAUUAUAGGCAUGAGCCUCUGUGGCCAGCUUAUACCCCCUAAGCUUGUGACUAUCUUCUAUGUGUGUCCCUCUUGGAGUGAGGUUCCCUCCUGUCUCCAUGUUGGCAAAUCUUAGCACCUUGGCCCUUCGAGAUGGGGGUCUGUGUUGCCUAGGCUGGUCCUGAACUCCUGGUCUCAAGUGAUCCUCCCAUCUUGGCCUUCCAGAGUGCUGGGAUUACAGGUGUGAGCCACUGUGUCCAGCCAACCCUUCUUAGAUUUUACUUACUUCAAGAAGCCUGCUUUGACCUCUCAAGUGCAAAUAACAACUUCUAGGAAUAGAGUGAUCACUGGGCAUCCAUCUGUUGUCACAUGAAUGAUUUUAUCCAUAUUAAGGAGGCAGUACAUGCAGCAGUGAGCUAACCUGCCUGUGUUGAAGUUUUCUUCUUUUUACAGGCUGUACAACCUUGGGCACGUUGCUUUACUUCUCUGUGCCUUAGUCUCUUCCUCAGCAAAAUGGAAAAAAUACUACCCAUUUCAAAUGGGGUGAAAAUGAAAUAAUAUAUAAGUCUCGUCUUCACAAUGUCUCUGAUGAAAAGCAGGUAUUGGUUGCACAUGGUGCUCAUGCCUGUAAUCCCAGCACUUUGGGAGGCGGAGCAGGGAGGAUUGCUUGAGGCCAGGAGCUUGAGACCAGCCUGGGGAACAUGGCCAGACCACAUCUCUUAAAAAAAAUUUAGCUAGGUUUGGUGCCAUGCACUUGUGUUUCUAACUAGUUUGGAGCAGGUGAGGUGGGAGGAUCUCCUGAGCUCAGGAGGUUGAGGCUGCAGUGAGCUGUGAUUGCACACGACUGCUUUCCAGCCUGGGCAACAGAGUGAAACCCCAUCUUAAACAAACAAACAAAUAAACAAAAAACAGGUUUUGUCCUUGCUGUAUGAAUGAGGAAAGUGAGUUUUCCUUUUUGCUUUGUGAAACUCUUUUCUGGAUAUUUCUUGCCUUUUAUGUGUAUCUCUUUGGUGGUACUCUGUGCUUUUAAAAUCUUUUGUAAUGGCCAUUUAUGGACAAAUCGUACCUUAUAUUCAAGAUUCUAAGCUUUUUGAGGGCAGGAUAUAAAUGUGGUUGUUUCUGGUUCAAGUCCUGAUACAAGCAAAGCUCAGUAAUUUUUUUAAAUGAAUGGGUGGGCCGGUGGUUGGGUCUUCAGAGUCACUAAGUAUUGGUGGCAGGAGUGGGACCACAUAGAAAAAGAUAUUAAGGCAGUGGAUCUCAGUGGGGAGUGAUCUGCCUCUCAGAGGAUGUUCAGUGAUGUCUAGAGACAUUUUUGUUGUCACAGUUUGGGAUGGGGGUGCAGUUGGUGUCUAUUGGGUUGGGAUCAGGAAUGCUAUAAACGUCCUGUGAUACACAGGACAGACGUAUCCAGCCUAAAACGUCAGUAGUGUUGAGGGUGAGAAACCCUGGGCUUAUUAAGGCAACAAGCAACAUAUUAAUAGCAACAGGAAAAAACAUGCAUUUAAAUUUUUUUUGGCCAGGUGUGGUGGCUCACACCCAUAGUCCCAGCACUUCGGGAGGCCGAGGUGGGCGGAUCAUGAGGUCAAGACAUCGAGACCAUCCUGGUGAACAUGGUGAAACCCCAUCUCUACUAAAAAUACAAAAAGUAGUCUGGUGUGGUGGUGUGUGCCUGUAGUCCCAGCUACUUGGGAGGCUGAGGCAGGAAAAUCACUUUAACCUGGGAGGCGGAGGUUGCAGUGAGCUGAGAUUGCACUACUGCACUCCAGCCUGGAGACAGAGCAAGACUCUGUCUCAAACAAACAAACAAAAAAAACAAUUUUUUUUUUUUCACAAAUGCGAAGUAGUCUAGAUGAGAUACGCUCUUCCUGAGAUGAUAAAGUGAGGUCUAAGUGUAUUUAUUAAUUCUUUUGAGGAGGGUGUUAGGUGCUAAAGGCAGCACGUGUAAGGUGAAAAUUGCGUAUAGCCAAAAUGACCCUGGGGCUUAUUCUCUCUCUCUCUCUUUUUUAAUAAACAGCUUUGUUGAGAUAUAAUUCACAUACCAUAUGAUGCACCUAUAAAGUGUGCAACUCAGUUUAGUACAUUCAGAAUUGUGCAUGUCUUCUGUCUCCAGGUAGGCAAAUCUUAGCACCUCGGCCCUUCUUAGAUUUUAUUUUUUAGAGAUGGGGGUCUCACUAUGUUGCCCAGGCUGGUCUUGAACUUCUUGGCCUUCCUCCCAUCUUGGCCUUCCAGAGUGACUAUAUUCAAUAUUCAAAGUGACUGUAGUCAACAUUAGAUAUUUUUAUCACCCUACUUACUUGUUUUUAUUUAAGACCUGGUGUGGUGUGUGCCUGGCCUUGUGAUCACAAAUGCUAGUUACACUGAAUUGACAUUUUGCUGAGACUCGUUCUGAGGUCCAUUCAUAGAUGCCCUAGGUACUUCCUGAUUACUUGCCACACCCCAGGAAUUCUGCACAGUGAGUGGGGAGUGACAUUUUGAGGGACAGCAACAGUACAUUCACUGCGCUAAAGAAACAGUCUGGGGAGAGCGAGACAUUGAAAAAAUAACAUAUAAAAUAAACAUCUGAUGGAGACAUAGGAAGAUGCCAACCUUCAACAAUGUUUGACUUGGAGCAGGGGUUGGCAUGCUUUUUCUGUGAAGGGUUAGGUAGUACAUAUUUUAGGUCUCUCAGGCCCAGGGGCAAAUAGUCUUUCUUAUAAUAUGUAUUUAAAAAUUGGCCAGGCAUGGUGGCUUCUGCCUGUAAUCUCAGCACUUUGAGAGGCCAAGGUGGGAAGAUUGCUUGAGCCCAGGAGUUCGAGACCAGCCUCAGCAACAAAGUGAGACUCUGUUUGUAUUAGUCUGUUCUCACGCUGCUAUAAAGAACUGCCCAACACUAGGUAGUUUAUAAGGGAAAGAGGUUUAAUUGACUCACAAUUCCACAGGGCUGGGGAGACCUCAGGAAACUUACACUCACAGCAGAAAGGGAAGCAAACAUGUCCUUCUUCACAUGGUGGCAGGAAGGAGAAGUGCUGAGCAAAAGGGGAAAAGCCCUUUAUCAAACCAUCAGAUCUCGUGAGAACUCACUAUAAUGAGAACAGCAUGGAGGUAACUGCCCCCCAUGAUUGAAUUGUCUCUCACCGGGUUCCUCCCACAACACAUGGGGAUUAUGAGAACUACAAUUCAAGAUAAGAUUUGGGUGGGGAUACAGCUGAACCGUAUAAUUCCAUGGGCAAAUGAUAUCGUUCUGCCCCUCCCAAAUCUCAUGUCCUCACAUUUCAAAACACAAUCAUGCCUUUCCAAGUGUCACCCAGAGUCUUAGCUCAUUCCAGCAUUAACCCAAAAGUCCAAUUCCAAAGUCUCAUCUGAGACAAGGCAAGUCCCUUCUGCCUAUUAGCCUGUAAAAUUGAAAGCAAGUUAGUUACUUCCUAGAUACAAUAGGAGUACAAGCAUUGGGUAAAUACACCCAUUCCAAAUGGGAAAAUUUGGCCAAAAUGAAGGGGCUACAGGCCCCAUGCAAGUCUGAAAUCCAGUGGGGCAGUCAUUUCUUAAAGCUCUGAAAUGAUCUCCUUUGACUCCAUGUCUCACAUCCAGGUCAUGCUUAUGCGAGAGGUGGGCUCUAGCUAUGGCCUUGGGCAGCUCUGCCCCUGUGGCUUUGCAGGGUACAGCCCCCAUCAAGGGGCUUUCACGGGUUUGUGUUGUGAGUCUGUGGCUUUUCCAGGUGCACGGUGCAAGCUGUCCAUGGAUCUACCAUUCUGGAGUCUGGAGGAUGGUGGCCCUCUUCUCACAGCUCCACUAGGCAGUGUCCCAGUGGGGACUGUAUGGGGGCUCUGGCCCCACAUUUGCCUUCUGCACUGCCCUAGCAGAGGUUCUCCAUGAGGGCUCCACUGCUGCAGCAAACUUCUGCCUGGACACCCAGGCAUUUCCAUGCAUCCUCUGAAAUCUAGGUGGAGGUUCCCAAACCUUGAUUCUUGACUUUUGUCCACAGGCUCAAUACCACAUGGAAUCUCCUAAGGCUUUUGGGGCUUGCACCCUCUGAAGGCACAGCCCGAGCAGCAUUUUGGCCCCUUUUAGCCAUGGUUGAAGCAACUGGAACAAAGUGUACCAACUCCCUAGGCAGCACACAGCAGGGGGGCCCUGGGUCUGGCCUAUGGAAUCAUUUUUUCCUCCUAGACCUCUAGGCCUGUGAUGGGAGGGGCUACUGCAAAGGUCUCUGACAUGCCCUGGAGACAUUUUCCCCAUUGUCUUGGUGAUUAACAUUUGGUUCCAUUUUACUUAUGCAAAUUUCUGCAGCAGGCUUGAAUUUUUCCCCAGAAAAUGGGUUUUUCUUUUCCGUCACAUCAUCACCCUUCCAGUGCUUCAAACUUUUAUGCUCUGCUUCCUCUUAAACACUUUGUUGCUUAGAAAUUUCUUCUGACAAUCAUCUAAAUCAUCUCUCUCAAGUUCUAAGUUCCACAGAUCUUUAGGGCAAAGGCAAAAUGCUGCCACUCUUUUUGCUUAAGCAUAGCAAGAGUCACCUUUGCUCCAUUUCCCAAGAAGUUCCUCAUCUCCAUCUGAGACCACCUCAGCCUGGACUUCAUUGUCCAUAUCACUAUCAGCAUUUUGGUUAAAGUCAUUCAAUAAGUCCCUAGGAAGUUCCAAACUUUCUUACAUCUUCCUAUACUCUUCUGAGCCCUCCAAACUGUUCCAGCCUCUGCCUGAUACUCAGUUCCAAAGUUGCUUCCACAUUUUUGGGUAUCUUUACAGUAGCACCCCACUCCCAGUACCAAUUUACUGUAUUAGUUUGUUCUCACGCUGCUAUAAAGAACUGCCCAAGACUGGGUAGUUUAUAAAGGGAAGAGAUUUAAUUGGCCCACAGUUCUGCAGGGCUGGGGAGGCCUCAGGAAGCUUGUAAUCAUGGUAGAAGGGGAAGCAAACACGUCCUUCUUCACAUGGUGGCAGGAAGGAGAAGUGCUGAGCAAAAGUGCUUCUUUUGCUGAGAAGUGUGGAGCAAAAUCAGAUCUUGUGAAACUUCACUGUCACAAGAACAGCAUGGAGGUAACCACCCCCAUGAUUCAGUUACCUCCCACUGGGUUUCUUCCAUGACAUGUGAGGAUUAUGGGAACUACAGUUCAAAAUGAGAUUUGGGUGGGGACACAGCCAAGCCAUAUCACUGUCUCUACCAAAAAAAAAAAAAGCCAGGUGUGGUGGCUCAUGCCUGUAUCCCAGCUACUCAUGAGGCUGAGAUGGGAGGAUUGCUUAAGUCCAGGAGGUUGAGACUGCGGUCAGCUAUGACCACACCACUGCACUCCAGUCUGGGCAACAGAGUGAGAUCCUGUCAAAAAAAAAAAAAAAAAAAAAAAAGGAAAUCCAUUUUUAGCCUGUGUGCUGUACAAAAGCAGGCAGCAGGCUGAAUUUGGCCCACAGGCUGUGGUUCGCCAACUCAUGACCUAUACAAAUGGCAAUUCGUAUGGUUCAUCCUCGCGAUAACUGUACAUGGUGUAUUAGAUACUAUAUAGCAUGUUUAUAUCAAAUGUCAUAUAAUGUAUAAGGUAACAUAUACAGCAUAAAAUAGUGUCUGAGAAAUACUUGAUGAAAAAAUCUGAUAAGUACUUAGCAGGCACAGUACAAAGUACCAUGAAGUUGUUAAAUGGGGGAUCAGGGUGUUUGAGAAAGGGGUGGGGAGAUAGGUGGGCCUCCCUCAAGAAGGAAUGUUUCAACUGAGAGCUGAAGGAUGCCCCUGCAUUGCAUGUCAGGGCAGUGAUGGGGAGAAAGCCUCCAGGUAGAGGGAACCCACUCUGCAAAGGCCCUGAGUCAUGAAGGGAUCCCUGGAACAGUGAGUUGCGGCUGAACCCACAGCUGCAGUUGUGGGGAUUGUGAUCCAUCCUGAGAGCUCUGAGAACCUGGAAUAGUUUUUAGCACAGUGUGACGGGACUGGGGCUGUGUUUUGAAGAUAUCCCCUGUCUGCAGUUGGGAGGGGAGUCAGGAAACCUAUUUGGAGGCUGGGGUUUUCACCCAGGUCAUGCAGAUAAGAUUUAUUAGGUGUGGAAUGAACUGAGCAAAUCACAUGUCUUCUAAUGGUACACCACACUUUUUUUUUUUUUUUUUUUUUGGUUUUGAGACAGUCUUGCUCUGUCUCCCAGUCUGGAGAGCAGUGGCAUGAUCAUGGCUCACUGCAGCCUUGACUUCCCAGGUUCAAGCAAUCCUCCUACCUCAGCUUCCGGAGUAGCUGGGACUACAGGUGCCCACUACCAUGCCUGGCUAAUUUUGGUAUUUUUAUUGGAGACGGGGUUUCAUCAUGUUGGCCAGGCUCCUCUCUAACUUCUGACCUGAAGUGAUUCGCCUGCCUCAGCCUCCCAAAGUACUGGGAUUACAGGUACAAGCCACCGCGCCUGGCCUUUAGUGAUAUUUUAAAGACUAAAUUCCCUUAGAGAUGCCUGGGUCUGCAUUUAUUGCUACUGUUCUGUUUCUCACUGUGUGUCUUGAGGUCAUCAAAAGUAACCUGGGCCUUUUCCCUUGUUUUCUGCCUCCUCUAGGCUUAUGAGCCAUUAAGCAAAGCCGGAUUGGUGUGUGGGUCAGGCUCUUCAUGUUUUCUUUAGCUUAAUAAGCAGUUUCUAAGGGAACUCAUUGUGUCAUUGUUUAGAAUAGCAAAAGAUGGGCAGCCUCCCAAGUGGCAAUCAGUAGGGGCUGGGUGAAUACAGUGGGUUCCACCCCUUCCGUGGUAGGGUGGGAUGCUUGCAGAAGGACAUAAGACGAGGAAGCCCUUUGUGCACAGAUGUGCGGCAGCCUCCAAGGUCCAGUUUUUAAGUGAAAAUGUGGAGAUCCACUUGGUAUAUUUGGUAUGUUACCUCUGUGUAAAAAAGCAGACAAGUAAGAAUUACGUAGUUGUAUUUGCUGUAUUUGUAAGAAAUUCCAGAGGGAUAAAUGAGAAACUAAAAGAGGCAAUUGCAUUUGGGCAGAGUAACUUUUUAUUGUUUACCUUGAUAUAUACUUUUUUUUUUUUUUGAGAUAGAGUCUCGCCCUGUCAACAGGCUGGAGUGCAGUGGCGUGAUCGUGGCUCACUGCAUCCUCCGCUUCCCAGGUUCAAGCGAUUCUCCUGCCUCAGCCUUCUGAGUAGCUGAGAUUACAGGUGUGUGUGCCACCAAGCUCAGCUAAUUUUUGGUAUCUUUAGUAGAGAUUGGGUUUCACCACGUUGGCUGGGCUGGUCUCGAACCCCUGACCUCGUGAUCUGCCCACCUUGGCCUCCCAAAGUGCUGAGAUUACAGGCUUGAGCCACCGCGCCCGGCCUAUAUGUGUAUUAUAUAAACAUAUGUACACGCAUGCAUACAUACACACACAUAUAUUUUUUAAAAAUUGAGUCAUGGCCAGGUGCAGUGUGGGUCACACCUGUAAUCCCAGCACUUUGGCAGGUGAAGGUGGGAGGAUUGCCUGAGCUCAGGAGUUUGAGACCAGCCUGGGCAACAUGGAGAAACCCCUUCUCUACAAAAAUCACAAAAAUUGGCCGGGCGUGGUGGCAUACACCUGUGGUCCCAGCUGCCUGGAAGGCUGAGGUGGGAAGAUUGCUUGAGCCUGGUAGGUAGAGGCCGCAGUGAUCCAUGAUCACGCCACUGCACUCCAGCCUGGGUGACAGAGUGAGACUCUGUCUUAAAGCAAAAACAAAGAGUCGUAUAUUUCCUAUUAAGGUGAAAUUUAAAAAAUAAAUUCCUAUAUUCCAUCAUCCCCAGCUUCUGCCAUUCUAAAGCAUUUUCCUAAGCAGCUCCACUGUGGAUGUAGCGGGUAUUUCAGAAAGGCAUUAGAAAUGCCCUGGGAGGGCAGAACCCGGGGCUUCACUGGAGGUGCUGUUGGGCUCGGUCUGAUGUCAAGGCAGGGGCAUGGCAAGGGUAUUGAGACGUGAACAAGCAUCACUCAGCAAGGUGACAUGUGUUCAUGCCUUGAUACCCUUGUUUCCCCACCAGCUCUAUUUUUGUUGCCUGCUC